rnacentral:lncRNA from 1 species
CUCCAUGCAAAGAUAAUUCCUCUAUUAAUUUCCUUGACUCCAUCAAGUAUAUCUUUAUCCCAUCUCACCAGUUGUAUGUAAUGGCAGCCGUGAAUCUCUUUCUCUUUUCCUCAUGACACCUAUCCUUCAUGUAAAAUAACAGCAGCAUUUAACUCUUUAGCCCCUUGAUUACUUUGUCUCUUUCAUGUGGAGAAAUCACCCUUCUCAUCUCUAUGGCGCCUGCUCAAUAAUUCUUUCUUUUUAUUUUUUUUUAGACACACUUCACUCCUUCAUUUGUUUUCCUUUACUUCCAAUGGCAUGCAGCCAUCUAUGCUCUGGCUACCCCCACGUUUACUCCUUUUUCUCUCAUGCAAGAGAACAACAACAACUAAUUCUUCCCCUUAAAUUACAAUGGUAACACCUUUGUUUAAUCCUCUCCUUUGAGUAUCCUUUAUCCCAUCAGUGUGCAUGCAACAGGUAGCCAUACAUCUUCUCUUCCUCCUCCCUUACUGCCAAGGGCGCCUCUCCCUUCUCCUCCUGCUCAAUAUUAAUGUGCACCCAUUCAUUCUCCUAUUGACUCACCUCUAUUAUUUCAAUUGCUUUACUCCAUUGUUUCAUUUGCAUGCAUGCAGAAAAUUACAACCAGCAAUAUCUCCUCCCCCUUGCUCACAUGAGCAGGUCAUCACUUCUCCUCCCAAUGGCGCAUCUUCCUUUUCUCUCAUGCAGAAAACUGCAGCAAAUGUUCCCACUUAAUUACCUUUACAAGCCCCUCUUAUUCUCCAAUGCAACUCUCUAAUUGCAUGAGUAAUGAAGGGCUCAUGAAACAGCCAUCCAUCACCCAUUCUCCCUUGUUUCUUUUAUGCUCGACACACACAGGAGCUGCCACUCUCUUCCCAUGCAAAACAACUACUACAAAUAAUGCUCUCCUUUGAUUCCCAAGAGACACACACCUGAUUUCAAUAGCACCUAUUUACUCUAUGGGUUUUACUCUCUUCAUUUGCAUGCAUCCAUGCAGGAAAUAGCAGCCAUAUAUUUUCCUCUUCCUCAUGCACAACAACAGCUUUAUUUCCUCCUCCAUUUCUCCUUCACGCACACUGCAGAUGGACAGCCCCUCUUCCCCUCUCCUAUGCCACCAUUGUCUCACUCUCAUGCAGAAAUAAAAAGGCAAUACAUAAUGCUCUUCCUUAAUCACCUAGCCUCUCUUGACUCCUCUUCAAUUGCAUGCAUACAUUCACAGCCAUAUCUCCUCUCUUUUCCCACGCACAACCAGCAAGACCCUUCUUCAAAACCCUCUUGAUAGCACAUAUUUUUUUUCACUGCCUUUUUAUUUCACUUCAAUGGCAUGGACACAUGCAGCUGCAGCAGCUAUAAAAUCCCCCCUCAUCUCCUCCUCUCUCCCUCACGCAAGCACCAGAGAAGGAGCAUCCCAUCUCCUCCUCUUCCUCCAUCAGUUGGGCGCCCCUCCUCCUCUCUUUUCCCCAUGGCUGCAGCUCCAACUCUCCCUCCUUUCUCUCCACAAAAAAAAAACAGCAGCCACCGCCUCUUCUCCUUCCAUUUCCUUCACCAUGGAUGGCCACUCCUCUCCCCUCCAAAUCCCUCUCCAACCUCUCCAUCAAAAUGCACUGCCCUCUCAGCAACAUUUUUGUUUUGCUGCUGCACGUUUCUUCCCAUCAUCGGAGUCAUGGAAUUCUUCACAUCUUGCUUGAGGACGCCAUGGUGCUGCAGCGCUUCAUGGAGGUCACCCCAAUGUCUUUUCCCAUCUCCCAGAACCUGCAGCAGAAACUCAUCGACCGUCAUCGCUGCUGCUCUUGUGCAGACCAUGGUGAGGUCGCCCUUCCCUCUCCCCUCUGUGAUCUUGUUUCAUAUUCCCCACUCAUGCAUCUCUUUGAUCUAUUGUGAGGCAUGGAUGAUCCCCCAAAGCGAAUAUACCACUGCUCCAUUGAUCGCCAACAUUGUCUUCACCUGUCAUUGACACUGACCGCUGCCAUCACGUUCAUCUCCAACUGUUCCUAACCCCAAUGUGAGAACCACACAUUUCCCUCUAUCUUAUAUGUUGAACUAUAUCAAAGUUUUUUCAUCUUAAUUCAAGUGGAUAGAUUUGUAGUGCAGUUUUGGCUAAGAACGUAUUGUUGUCUAUCGUGGACAGCAGUGUUGCUGCUGGUUAUCAAGCAUGUUCCUGGCAAUUUGCAUCUCUGUUUUGCAAUUCCUUUAAUCCAUGUGUGUAUCAUAUAUCUGCACAUGUCUCCAUAAAAAUCCCAUGGCCAUAUCAUCCAAACAAAAAGAGUUAUCAUUUUCUCAUGCUUGCUGCCUAUGCAGCCACGUAGUCACGCUGCUGCUGAUUGGCAUGUAUGUUCCUGUUGUUUUACCAAUCCAAUACAAAUUUCUUUCGACUCACACAUGUAUCACAUACUUGUACAUGGUUAUGCAAAGUUGGUCACCCAUCCGAUCAAUAGAGAUGGUGUUUUGGGUCAGUUUUCACACUCACUAUCCCUGCUAUCCUAGCAGCCACGCAGCACUAAAUUGUUUUGGCUUUCCUCAGAAAACUGUGAUCCCAAUCAUCAAACCCUUUCACCAUAAGAGUAAAUACCAUUCUCACACAUGUCUUUGCAAAGUUUCAUGGCUAUAGGAUCAAACAUGAAAGAGAUAUAAUCUUUUUCGUGCCCGCUGUCUCGUUUGUUCAACAGCAAUGCAUCUCAGUGGCAGUGUUAUUCCCCAUUAACCGUUCAUCACAUAGUCAAACCCUUUUACCACAGAGUAGAUAUCAUCCCUGAGCACACCUCUGUAGGACAGUUUUGUCAUAGGAGUUGAGACACCAAAUAUAUCAUCAUCUUCGUGAGCGCUAUCCCUGCAGUCCUGGCAGCUAGGCUGAUCUGAAUUGUAUUGGAGUUCCCCAUUAAUCUAAAAGCCCAAUCCUCAAACCCUUUGACCAUCUUGUGCCCCUUAACCUUGCAUACGAUUCUGCAAUUUGGUAUGUCCAUGAGUGCCACGGUGGCCGAGAUAUAAAUGCCACUGUCACUGCCACUCUUGCAGUCCAUCUAUCGGCAUCACAUCUGUUUUAUGAUCAUGUUUUCCGAACCAACUGUUACACAAAAUGACAUGCCCUCUUGCCAAAACAUACCUCAUAGAGUACCCAGCAUCCCCGCAAAAUGGAUCACCUUUUGGUUUGGUGAUAACCAUACAACCGCUGAUCAUAACUCCCACAAUCUGCCGACAUCCACGUUAUGGAUUGAUCGGUGUUUUAUCGUGUUCCCCGCUAAACCCCUAUAUAAAUCACCAAGUCCACUUACAUGAUGGUGUGUAUAUCAGGUGCACACAUUUUCACCAAGUGUACUUACUAUACCUUUGGUGCAGCUCCAUAUUUUGGUGGGAAUAUACUAGAAGCACUUCAUGUUGAUCUAGCAUCCACCGUUUUGCACACAUUUGUCACGAUGUGUUUCUAAUUCAUCACCGAACAUAUCCGGAAGCACUCUCUCAUCCAUGUUAGAACAAUCAGUCCCUCUUAUGCAAUCUAAUGCUUGUACCAUCUUAUAUUCGCUUCACUAUGUUCUAUACAACUCAUUAUACACAACUCCAUAGUCAUCAAUAAUUCGUCUAUAAAUCCUUGUGAUCUAUAAAUCUUUCCAAGCUAGCACUAAAUCGAUCAUGUUCAUUCCAUUCGUAUAAUUUACCGAACCUCUAACUUCAACCUUCAAUCCUUCACACCCUUUUAUAGUAGUUUCACUUAGUUGUUUUUGCGCUCAACGAUCGUAGUUACAGGCCCUAGUGUUCUAAAACUUUUUUUACAAUGAUUGAUGUACUGUUUUUAGGCUUGUCUAUGAUGCUUGCGAUCGUUGUUGCUAUCGUUAGAAGAGGAGCUCUACAAGGAUGAUGAAGAAGUUGGAUAAGUUUAAGCAACAGUUGAAGGCAAGUGUAACAUGAGUUCCCUUGUUACCUAAUAACUAUUUAAUCACCUCUUCAUGUGCAUGUGUCUAAUAUGAUAAACCCAUAAGGACUUUACCUAGAACUAUUGUAUCUUGUAUCCUUGUUUACCCUGGGGUUAUGCAUAUGGGUAGUUUGCUUAGUCUGCAAUCACCAAACUGUAUAAUACUAAUACUGAUUAAUGAUUAUGGAAUCAAUAUUAUAAUGAUGCUUUCUAGCAACAUGGAUAUCAGGGGGCUAGAGCAUUGGGCCUUUUUGGGUGCUCUAGUCUGCCCUCCGUAAGGACUGAAUCUUAAAGCGGCAACCCAGGACUUACAGUACAACCAUGAGAAUCACAUGGCUCUGAUCUUAAUCAAGUAUCUAGUAUGUCUCUAGCUUGUUAGUGGUUACCGAAAGGCGCAAGAGGGGGGUGCCUCGUGGUGUAUAGUUUUGCCCCUACCUUGGUGUGUACAGUGCCGCGACCACAUGUGCCUCUUGGAGGAGGUCUCUAUGCACACUUGCCACUGAAACCUCGCGGCCACUAACUAGUUAGGGUGUCUAGUGAAAGGUUACGUAGUGAUCCCUGCCGACUUACCUUGGAAGUGAGUCAAGAGGUUGGCCCCCUCAGGCAAAGGGCAAUCACGACUCAUGGGUAAAGAUGUACACACUCUGCAGAGUUAUAAAAACUGAUAUAUCAGCCGUGCUCUCGGUCAAGAGCGACCUGGAUCCUUUUCGAGAUAGAUGGUUCAAUGGAUGGUUUGGGUUGAUGAUUAAUUUUGAUGAUAUUUAUAGUUGUCACCUUGGGAGCUUAAGCAUAACCUAGCAACAUAGGUCUAAUAAUAAAAUAUGACCAACUAAAAAUGCUUAUCGCAGUCAAACCAAGUCAAGCCUUUUGAGCCUUGCAUCCCCUCAUGUUAUACUUGUUGAGUAUGGUGCGCUCACACUUGCUUUACAUUCAACAAUCAAAAAUCCCGGAUGGGUACUAGAUGGUGAUACAAAGGUGGAGUUCCCUGAGAUGUUCCAGGAGUACUAGGCGAGUGUACCCCCAGUCAACCGUCCCUGUGGAAAAUGGAGACCCAAAGUGAAGAUUAGGAUUAGUUUCCGCUAUGCUUUAUUAUGAUGUAAGCAUUGUUGUAACUAUGUUCCGAUAUAUAAUAAAGCAUUGUUCUUGAUAUUCUCCAUAUUUGUCGCUAUAUGUGUCGUGUGGACAUCCUGGGCACACAUAUAGUUAGCGCUUGGUCUUCCUUGGAAAACCGGGUGCGACAGAUUGGUAUCAAAGCAAUGUUGACUGUAGGACGCUCAGCCUAGUUAGAAAUGGAUGUUUUUACAAACAUAUUUUGAUAAAAACAUAUCUUGGCUUCCUCCUCCUUGAUAUUUUCUAAAAGAAAAACAAAAUUGAUUGCCGAAACCCCUUCUUUCUCCAAAAUCCAUGAAGAUGCUGGUGAAGUUGAAGAUUCUACAUCAAUAAUAAACAUCAUCACCAAAGUUCAGUGGUUCAAGCUCGUCUAUCCUAAUGCCUUUAGGAUGUUGUUAUCCCUGAGCGCUUUUACGUUAGCAAUGAUGCUAAGGUGAGUGAUAGUAUGCUUUCAUAAGGACCCUAUCAUGUUAGUGUGCUUUAACUAGGUUGAUUGUUUUGUCAUGAUGAACUUGUAUGAUUUGGCUCUUUGUAAUGAGUGUAGCUUCAGUGAAUCUCGGGGCGAGAUUCCUGUUAAGGGGGGUAGAGUUGUCACACCCCAAAAUUCUAACUUUGGGACAUGACUUAGAAAACACUAAAAACAAAGACAAAGAAUUUUUUUUAUAAAAUGUUCCAACUUUAUUUAUGUUGACAACAUUUUAGAUAGUGAAAAAUGUGGGUUUCUAAAACUUUUGUAAAUCAACUUAGUGGUUUGUUGCAUUCAUGCCGUUGCAUAGUGUUUAUGCUUGAAAAAUAAAUUUUGUUUGUUUUCAAGAUAUGCCUUGGGUUUAUCCCAACUUCAUCUUUCCAAACAUCAAACCAAUAUCUAAAAGUUCUAAUCAAAUCUUUUGUCCACAAACUAAAUCCCUAGCCUAACCCUCUCCCUCUCUCGCUUUCCUCUUCCUUUUUUUGGACUCCUACUUGUUUUUGAUCAAGUCCUCCCAACCCCUUAAAUCUAAAUUAUAUGACCACCUUGUUUACACAAUUCUGCCAUCACUUUGAUCAAGCCAAGUUCCCUGUCUUGCUUUGGAUCAAGUCCAAACCAGCCCAAAACAUCCAUCUUUCUCUCCCACCUCAUGCACGAUUCUCUACUUCUCUUUUAUGUAAAAAGGAAAAUAGAAGCCCUCCUCACAUCUAUGUGUCGUCAUCCCCUUGGACAGCACCUGAUCUUUUCCUACAUGCACAAACUUCGUCAACUAAUUCUUCCUUAAUUCCUCCUUUUCAAUUCACUAAUAAUCUUAGGACUGCAUAUGGAAAGCACCAUGCAUGGACAGUUAACUUUUGCAGCUACACCAACACUUCCUCUCUUCUCCAUGCAAAGAUAAUUCCUCUAUUAAUUUCCUUGACUCCAUCAAGUAUAUCUUUAUCCCAUCUCACCAGUUGUAUGUAAUGGCAGCCGUGAAUCUCUUUCUCUUUUCCUCAUGACACCUAUCCUUCAUGUAAAAUAACAGCAGCAUUUAACUCUUUAGCCCCUUGAUUACUUUGUCUCUUUCAUGUGGAGAAAUCACCCUUCUCAUCUCUAUGGCGACUGCUCAAUAAUUCUUUCUUUUUAUUUUUUUUAGACACACUUCACUCCUUCAUUUGUUUUCCUUUACUUCCAAUGGCAUGCAGCCAUCUAUGCUCUGGCUACCCCCACGUUUACUCCUUUUUCUCUCAUGCAAGAGAACAACAACAACUAAUUCUUCCCCUUAAAUUACAAUGGUAACACCUUUGUUUAAUCCUCUCCUUUGAGUAUCCUUUAUCCCAUCAGUGUGCAUGCAACAGGUAGCCAUACAUCUUCUCUUCCUCCUCCCUUACUGCCAAGGGCGCCUCUCCCUUCUCCUCCUGCUCAAUAUUAAUGUGCACCCAUUCAUUCUCCUAUUGACUCACCUCUAUUAUUUCAAUUGCUUUACUCCAUUGUUUCAUUUGCAUGCAUGCAGAAAAUUACAACCAGCAAUAUCUCCUCCCCCUUGCUGUUUAAUCCUCUCCUUUGAGUAUCCUUUAUCCCAUCAGUGUGCAUGCAACAGGUAGCCAUACAUCUUCUCUUCCUCCUCCCUUACUGCCAAGGGCGCCUCUCCCUUCUCCUCCUGCUCAAUAUUAAUGUGCACCCAUUCAUUCUCCUAUUGACUCACCUCUAUUAUUUCAAUUGCUUUACUCCAUUGUUUCAUUUGCAUGCAUGCAGAAAAUUACAACCAGCAAUAUCUCCUCCCCCUUGCUCACAUGAGCAGGUCAUCACUUCUCCUCCCAAUGGCGCAUCUUCCUUUUCUCUCAUGCAGAAAACUGCAGCAAAUGUUCCCACUUAAUUACCUUUACAAGCCCCUCUUAUUCUCCAAUGCAACUCUCUAAUUGCAUGAGUAAUGAAGGGCUCAUGAAACAGCCAUCCAUCACCCUUUCUCCCUUAUUUCUUUUAUGCUCGACACACACAGGAGCUGCCACUCUCUUCCCAUGCAAAACAACUACUACAAAUAAUGCUCUCCUUUGAUUCCCAUGAGACACACACCUGAUUUCAAUAGCACCUAUUUACUCUAUGGGUUUUACUCUCUUCAUUUGCAUGCAUCCAUGCAGGAAAUAGCAGCCAUAUAUUUUCCUCUUCCUCAUGCACAACAACAGCUUUAUUUCCUCCUCCAUUUCUCCUUCACGCACACUGCAGAUGGACAGCCCCUCUUCCCCUCUCCUAUGCCACCAUUGUCUCACUCUCAUGCAGAAAUAAAAAGGCAAUACAUAAUGCUCUUCCUUAAUCACCUAGCCUCUCUUGACUCCUCUUCAAUUGCAUGCAUACAUUCACAGCCAUAUCUCCUCUCUUUUCCCACGCACAACCAGCAAGACCCUUCUUCAAAACCCUCUUGAUAGCACAUAUUUUUUUUCACUGCCUUUUUAUUUCACUUCAAUGGCAUGGACACAUGCAGCUGCAGCAGCUAUAAAAUCCCCCCUCAUCUCCUCCUCUCUCCCUCACGCAAGCACCAGAGAAGGAGCAUCCCAUCUCCUCCUCUUCCUCCAUCAGUUGGGCGCCCCUCCUCCUCUCUUUUCCCCAUGGCUGCAGCUCCAACUCUCCCUCCUUUCUCUCCACAAAAAAAAAACAGCAGCCACCGCCUCUUCUCCUUCCAUUUCCUUCACCAUGGAUGGCCACUCCUCUCCCCUCCAAAUCCCUCUCCAACCUCUCCAUCAAAAUGCACUGCCCUCUCAGCAACAUUUUUGUUUUGCUGUUGCACGUUUCUUCCCAUCAUCGGAGUCAUGGAAUUCUUCACAUCUUGCUUGAGGACGCCAUGGUGCUGCAGCGCUUCAUGGAGGUCACCCCAAUGUCUUUUCCCAUCUCCCAGAAC